rnacentral:RNase_MRP_RNA from 1 species
GCUUAUUGCCUGGGCUACAAACAGAGGACUCUGUUCCUAUUCCUUGCGCCCAGGGGAAAGUCCCCGGACCUCCGGCAGAGAGUGUCACUUGCGCGCGCAAGUCGACCUUCCCCGCAUCUCACCUGAGAUUAAAGAGAAAAAAAUUUAAGUGACUCCUAUUAACAUGAAUGCCUCAUUCCCUCCUGCAUAAAGCAUCAGCAGAAGAGACAAUAUAUUUUUAAAGGCCAUUUGAGUAUAAUUAUAGUUCAUGUUUGCCAGACAGGUAAACAUACAGAAUGGAGC